GGCACCUGGCCCAAGGAAAGCUGGUUUUCAGAGCGGGUGUGCCGGUAGGCUCUCGGGAAUGGCUUGCUGUGUGCCAGGAGGCCAGGCUAAGAUCGAACAUUGCAUUUCUUCAAGGUAUAACUGCAUAUUUUGAACACUGCUGCCCCGUGUCAGGUCACUGUCACUACUCGGCUGCCAGCCCUACCUGGGAGGUCACAGGUUCCACACUGGGAGGCUCUCUCCAGGCACAGCUGUUCCCUGGCUCAUAGACUCUUCACCUGCUGACACCCAAGGGUGGCCCUUCAGGGACUUGCGGCAGGCACCUUGCUCCUGGGACCAUGCAUGUGUUUCCUCGUGGCUGGAAGGACUUGGUGGAGGCAUAGAGAGAUGACAUUGUGGGCCUCAGCUGGUCGGUGGCAGAGCAGAGAUCGAAAUCCCACAAGCUUGACUCCACAUUCUUCUCGUAGGAAAAUCUGGAGGUGCUCGUCCUGGAAUCCUCUCGCCCUGCUGUGAGGAAGCCCAAGCCAGCUCACGUGGAGAGGCCACAGGAAGGUGUUAUGGUCCACAGCCAGCUAGGGCCCAGCCCACAGAAAGUCAACAGCAACCACCAGACACUCCACUGCAGUGUCACAGCCCCAAGGACAACAGGAUGCUUUCUCUGGUCUGGUCUGAGGACAGUGUUCCACAGACAGCAGGUGUCCAGCGACUGCCCAGCCAGCCAGGCCCAGCCCAACUUGUGAAGGAGGAAGAGACCCGAGAUGCCCAGAGGUGAUGCUCUCUGCAACUCCCAAGGCCAGCAUGUCCAGGCUGGCAGCUCCAAGACUGAGCUCUGCUUUCACAGCUUCGGACCCCACAGAGGAUGUCCCCUCUGAGGCCAGCAUGGCAGAGAGGUCACCUGUGAGGCACGGGACCUGUGAUCCUAGCAGAGCCACCUCCCAGCCUUCUCCUCCCAGAUGUGAGAGAGACCACUUGCCCUGCAGAAAAGACCUUCCCAAAGUUACUCAAGCUCAAGAGCCCAGACUCCUCAACAACUUUGCAGACUUCUUCAGACUACUGAGUGACCUUCACUUGGCCCAGUGCAAGGGGAUCAUUAUGGAAGCACAAUGUUAUUUGAGUAUAAGGGAUGGCUCUGCUGGCAUGGUGAACCUGGACCCAGGUGUCGUGAAAGCUUGCCAAUAAACCUGAACUGUCCUUGGCUCAUGGGGGAGAAGUAGAUACCUGGUUGUGAGCCCUGAAACGGAAGAUGACAGCCACGUGCUUUGACAGCAAGAUUGAAAACUGAGGCCCAUCUGACCUCCUUCUGGAGAGGAGUUUCUUAUCAGAGAACACCUCGGCCCUAUGAAUCUGGUUUUAGCAGGAGAGAGACGGUGUUUGAGAUGAGCCAGGGACGCUCACUGAAGACACACACUCUGCUGCAGAGACGUCACAAUGCACCUGCCCUGUUCCCUCUAGCCAUUUUAUCAAGGACACGGAGCGGCAGGUCUGGUAUGGAGAGGCCCCUGGAAAGACAGCUACUUGGAGACAAUGUAUGCAAUUCCGAAGCUCCAAAGUGGCUGGAGUAUCAGGUCAGAACAAAAACACCCUAAAAAUCAUCAGGCGUCCUCGAUCCACUAGGGUUAGGAAGUGCACCAAUGUACUUCGGUUCAGGACAGAGCCCUCCAGUGCCGUGUGGCCCCAGGCCUCCUGGGAGCGGCAUGGGCUGCCAAGGCCACUCAGGUGCUCCUAGGCCACCGCGGCCCGACAGCCUGUCGGCCCAAAGCCAGCCAUUGCCAGCGGAUCUGGGUCCAUCAGAAACAUUGCGGAAAACAAAACUGAGUCCCUUCAGUUUAAUAGCUAUUAAAAAAAAAUGUGUGUGUAGGGCACCUUGAUUUCCUUUGCCUCAAGGUCUUUUAAAAAUGGAUUGCCAGGGAAACAUUUCUGCAGACUGAGGGUGUUGUGCUCUAUGACGUAGUAGGAAGCCUGUGUGCUACGAUCUGUCAGUUAAUCUGCUAACCAAGUAUGGAGCCUGGAGGUGCAGAGCCCAAAGAAAGGCAUGUGGGUUUCAGAUUCUCUGAGAGCCAGGCUCUGUAAAGGUUUAAUCUAAGAUGACAGCAGAAUCGUCCAGCAUCUGUCUGCCAUCCUCAGGAGACCCGAUUUGUGGCUCUGUUGUAGUAGACUCACACCUGCCAUCGAGGACAAACCCAGGUGGCUUAUGGUCCUUCAAAGCCCUUUGUUAGAGUCUCUCAUUAUUGUCUUUCCAGGGAGGAGUGCCUCACAUGGGUCCCUGGCUCCCGCCGUGCCCACAUGGCUCCUGCAUGGCGGAGGUUAGUUCAGGGAGGUCGCUGCCCACAGGUUAGAGGCACAGGCUGGUGGUCACCUUGAGUGACCAGGUAGAGUUUUCUAUAACAAUCAUUGCACGCAGCACAACCUUAUAGGCGAAGAUUUCUGAGUUCAGGGACUUGGGGUUGAAGUGAGGAAGCCCCUCACCACAGGGACAAAAUUCAGCCUGGGUGCAAAGAAAUUCACGAUACACAGAAUGCCAAGUUGGAGAAAGAGGCUACUGCCCCCAAGAGCAGUGCGGAGCCACAGGAGAGGAAGCUCGUCCAAAGCCCACUGCUCUGCCAGCUCCCCAUCACGGGAGAGAACACCCAGGCUUGGCAUCCUCCCCCAACCCAGCAAAGGUUUUGAGUGGUUUUCAUUUAAUCUGAGUGAAGUAAAAUGAUAAUGGACCCUGUAAAAAUCUGGCAUAAUUAAAAUGUUCAAACUUCAGAUAUAAAUUUUCCUACACUUUCUCUUCCCCUUUGCAAUAUCUUCAACUGCUUUAAUGUCCCAGAAAAAAAUAGCUAUUAAAAAAAAAUGUGUGUGUAGGGCACCUCGAUUUCCUUUGCCGCAGGCAAAAUCACAGCACUGAGAUCAAGGUCACAGUCCACACCACAUGGGACAAUUAAGACAAUCCUCCAAGAGGAGGUGAUGCUUCUUGGUCUUAGAUCAGUUUUGAUGACACAAAUCUAAGAACUUCAAAGGUUAUGCAAAUAUUGACCAACCAUCCUCCUAACCCUUAAGAGGGGGCACUUUUUUCCACAUGCCUAUGUCGGCUCCUUGAUUCUCUUAAUUAGAAACUCGUGGCCAACAGUUUUAUCCUGCGCCUGAUGGAGGCCACCUACAAGGUAUUUACUGCAUUUGGGCCAAGAACUUGCACCUGCGCUACGAUUCCGAGGACGGCCACCAGAGGGAAGCACUAGCCCGCGUGCGCAGACUUGGUGCCCCACCGCGCGUUGCUUGACGCGCUUCUCCUGCAGGACAGGCACAUUUUCAGGCGGGAGGUGGACGGAAACGUGGUGCUGUCGUCCUGGUCUUCCACAGCAGUAAGCUGAACUCAUUUCGCUUACCACAAGAGCAGGCACUCUGUUGCCCGUGAGCCCUGCUUGGUGCGGUGGUGAUUCAAACACAGGAUGCGAGGUGCAGGCAGCCCGGCUCCAGUCCCGCUGUGCGGCGGGGUCUGCAGCCUGUUCCUUCUCUGAAGAAAGACCGUACACAGGGCCUGAAACCCUCCCCUUGCUGCAGGGCCCAUGCUGGGGACGCCACCCUUAGCGGGAGAGGGACUAUUUUUCCUGUUGGCUAUGAGCUUUCUACUGCAGAGUGGGCGCAGAGCAGGUCUCGGAAACAGGUAGGGGCACGAUCUCCGUGCUGGGCCAGGCUGCAGGUGCUGGUUGAGCCCUGGGCCCUGCCGCUCCUUGUCACCCCCGGGCACCUGGCGCUGUCCCUGGGAGGGGCCCCCUGGCACCCUUGCUGCAGGAUCCUGGACAUAGGUGGGCUCUUCUCUGAGAGAAGAGCCUGUGACUGGGGUGGGGUGGUUGUAUGAAGAAGCUGCAGCUGCCAGAGUGGUGCAGAGGAGGGUGGGCACCCAGGUGGGCAGUUGGAGGAGGUGAUCAGCAGAGCUAGCUUUGUGAGGGCAAGUGUGUGGGUGGCCACCUUGGGGGAGAACUGAAAGAUGGAGGUGGCCUCUGUCAGGACAGCAGGUUCCAGGUCCCUGGGUGCCCACCUGCGCAAGCAGGAGGGGGAGCAGGCACUGCAGAAAAGAGGUUGGCAAAGGCAGGGCUGGGUCGCAGGUUUUGUCCCAGUGUGGGGGGAGCCAUGAAG